rnacentral:lncRNA from 1 species
UAGCCACCCAUAUAAAGCACGCCAGGCCAAGAAGGAGAGUUUUAGAGGAAUAAGGUUGCUCCAAAUAAGCCGACAAACAGAAGAUAAAUAUCGUUUUGACCGGAGUUCCUCCCAAGCACUUUUGACAGAGAACUCGCCCAUUGAAGAGGGCUCGCAGACCAGGGAAUCCUCUAGUGUCGGAAACAAGGAAAGCUGCAGUACCGUUG